rnacentral:rRNA from 1 species
GUGGGGAAUAUUGGACAAUGGGCGAAAGCCUGAUCCAGCCAUGCCGCGUGUGUGAAGAAGGUCUUCGGAUUGUAAAGCACUUUAAGUUGGGAGGAAGGGCAGUAAGUUAAUACCUUGCUGUUUUGACGUUACCGACAGAAUAAGCACCGGCUAACUUCGUGCCAGCAGCCGCGGUAAUACGAAGGGUGCAAGCGUUAAUCGGAAUUACUGGGCGUAAAGCGCGCGUAGGUGGUUUUGUAAGUUGGAGGUGAAAUCCCCGGGCUCAACCUGGGAACUGCCUCCAAAACUGCAUGACUAGAGUACAGUAGAGGGUAGUGGAAUUUCCUGUGUAGCGGUGAAAUGCGUAGAUAUAGGAAGGAACACCAGUGGCGAAGGCGACUACCUGGACUGAUACUGACACUGAGGUGCGAAAGCGUGGGGAGCAAACAGGAUUAGAAACCCUGGUAGUCC